rnacentral:rRNA from 1 species
UACGGGGGGGGCAAGCGUUGUUCGGAAUUACUGGGCGUAAAGGGCUCGUAGGCGGCCAACUAAGUCGGAUGUGAAAUCCCCAGGCUUAACCUGGGAACUGCAUCCGAUACUGGAUGGCUUGAAUCCGGGAGAGGGAUGCAGAAUUCCAGGUGUAGCGGUGAAAUGCGUAGAUAUCUGGAGGAAUACCGGUGGCGAAGGCGGUCUGCUGGGCAGUAGCUGACACUGAUGCGCGACAGCGUGGGGAGCAAACAGG